UGGGGAAUAUUGCACAAUGGGCGAAAGCCUGAUGCAGCGACGCCGCGUGAGGGAUGACGGCCUUCGGGUUGUAAACCUCUUUCGCCAGGGACGAAGCCGUAAGGUGACGGUACCUGGAUAAGAAGCACCGGCUAACUACGUGCCAGCAGCCGCGGUAAUACGUAGGGUGCAAGCGUUGUCCGGAAUUAUUGGGCGUAAAGAGCUCGUAGGCGGUUUGUCGCGUCGGCUGUGAAAUCUGGAGGCUUAACCUUCAGCGUGCAGUCGAUACGGGCAGACUUGAGUUCGGUAGGGGAGACUGGAAUUCCUGGUGUAGCGGUGAAAUGCGCAGAUAUCAGGAGGAACACCGGUGGCGAAGGCGGGUCUCUGGGCCGAUACUGACGCUGAGGAGCGAAAGCGUGGGGAGCGAACAG
rnacentral:rRNA from 1 species